rnacentral:rRNA from 1 species
AGGACGAACGCUGGCGGCGUGCUUAACACAUGCAAGUCGAGCGGAAAGGCCCUUCGGGGUACUCGAGCGGCGAACGGGUGAGUAACACGUGAUCAACCUGCCCUUGGCUCUGGGAUAGCCUCCGGAAACGGGGAUUAAUACCGGACAUUCACUUUCUCCUGCAUGGGGGUUGGUGGAAAGUUUUUCGGCCAGGGAGGGGCUCGCGGCCUAUCAGCUUGUUGGCGGGGUAACGGCCCACCAAGGCGACGACGGGUAG